rnacentral:rRNA from 1 species
AGUGAACGCUGGCGGUAGGCCUAACACAUGCAAGUCGAACGGAAGCACAGUAAGAGCUUGCUCUUACGGGUGGCGAGUGGCGGACGGGUGAGGAAUACAUCGGAAUCUACUUUUUCGUGGGGGAUAACGUAGGGAAACUUACGCUAAUACCGCAUACGACCUACGGGUGAAAGCAGGGGAUCUUCGGACCUUUCGCGAUUGAAUGAGCCGGUGUCGGAUUAGCUAGUUGGCGGGGUAAAGGCCCACCAAGGCGACGAUCCGUAGCUGGUCUGAGAGGAUGAUCAGCCACACUGGAACUGAGACACGGUCCAGACUCCUACGGGAGGCAGCAGUGGGGAAUAUUGGACAAUGGGCGCAAGCCUGAUCCAGCCAUACCGCGUGGGUGAAGAAGGCCUUCGGGUUGUAAAGCCCUUUUGUUGGGAAAGAAAAGCAGCAGGUUAAUACCCCGCUGUUCUGACGGUACCCAAAGAAUAAGCACCGGCUAACUUCGUG